rnacentral:tRNA from 1 species
GGCGCCUCGCCGGAUGAACGGAUAACUUUGAUAGAGUUAAUUAUAAAGGCACCU